ACCUCACCACGCUGCGGGGGACGGAGUGAAAUGAUUAGACGGGAGAGCCCAUGUUAAAUCCCAAGGCACACACACGGGACUUUGAGAUGCUGAACACUAGAGUAACAUGAGUAAAAUGCCAACUACGAGGAUAGGCUUCCAGGCAGCAUAUGGUCACAGCUCAAAAAUGAAUUUAUCUCUUUUUAGCCUUAGUACUGCAAACCAUUUUGGAACCAGAGAAGAGCUGAAGACUAUAGCAAGGGAGAGAAUAGACACACACACAACCCGCCUAGGGAAGAGAAGUGAUAAAAGAGUACCUGUAGGUUAUAAUAAAAGACACUUUUUUUUUUUUUUAAGACACAGCUUCAAACUCACUAUCACAACUGUGAUACCAGGUUUCCAGACCCUUCAGCCAGGUGACAACUGCCUCAGUGUAAAAUGUUGACAACAGACCACCACACAUGCAGCAUUUGGUACUAUUGAGAAGGCCUGCUUCCUGCCCUAGGGUACUCAGGCUGAAACUUUCUCCCAUCUUCAAGUGCAUCAGUGCGUUCUGUAUUCUUUUCUUCCCCCAACCUGCACCCUGAGAGAAGGGCCACAGCUUCUACUCCCCUUCCUGUGCUCCACACCCCAGCACGCUGGAGACCAACUGCAAGCCCAGUAGCAUGAAGAAAAUAUUCAAAAUGUGACACAGAAGGAAUCAUCGGCAGCUCCGACACACUGUUCAGGGACCUUUAAUUACGAGUGACAACUCAAUGAACAAGUCAUUCAGGAAUAAAGUUUCUUUAUAACUGACGAAAGUUGACAGAACUGAUCUACAUGAAAAU